UGUUGUAAUCUUGUUCUAUAGAUAAAAUGAUUUUAUUAGUAGAAAAUUUUGUAAAUAGUAAAAUAUUAAAAAAUUAAUAAAUUUUAAAUAUUGGCUGAUGUGGGUUAAGGAACUCGGCAAAUAAAGCUUCU
rnacentral:rRNA from 1 species